rnacentral:rRNA from 1 species
GGGCCUGCACAAGCGGUGGAGUAUGUGGCUUAAUUCGAUGCAACGCGAAGAACCUUACCUGGCCUUGACAUGCAUCUCUAAGUGUGUGAAAGCACAUGACCCCUCGGGGAAUUUGCACAGGUGCUGCAUGGCUGUCGUCAGCUCGUGUCGUGAGAUGUUGGGUUAAGUCCCGCAACGAGCGCAACCCUUAUGUUUUGUUGCCACUUUCGCUUCGGCGGAAAGCACUCUAAACAGACUGCCUCGUCUCAACGAGGAGGAAGGUGGGGAUGACGUCAAGUCAGUAUGGCCCUUACGGCCAGGGCUGCACACGUACUACAAUGCCCAGUACAAUGGGAAGCAAUACCGCGAGGUGGAGCAAAUCCUCAAAACUGGGCCCAGUUCAGAUUGUAGGCUGCAACUCGCCUACAUGAAGGUGGAAUCGCUAGUAA